rnacentral:lncRNA from 1 species
UUAUAAUGCAGACUGAAAGUGUUUCAGAAAAGUAACUUGGCAUUGAAUCAAACUAAUAAGUGGAGCUGUUUGUCUGUAUGGAUUGAAGAAAGACUUUCUAGGGCCUCAAGACUGUGUGGGAAAGAGAAGAGAAGAGGGCUAAGAAUUCACUUGCAGAUCUAAAAGAGACAAACAGAAGCUGGAAAUUGUACAUAGAGUUGAUAGGAAAACCACCUGAUUACAAAUCACUUAUCGGAAAUGCUAUGUGGAGAAGAAUUAGAAGACAUGGUCACUGAGCAGGAAGAGACAUGACUCUGCCAAGGUAUUAUUGGAAAGGUUGGAGGUGAUCUACUAUAUGGAAGCAUCUCUGAAGUCUAGACAUAAAUCAUCACAGUUCUAGAAAAAGUGGAAGAGAAAACACACCUUUGUAAAAGGACUGGAACAUAGGAAAGUGAUUGAGUUUGAAACACCAACAAAACCAUAUAGGGUGACGGACAGAAACCAGAUUAUAAGGUGUUAAGGAGGGAGGAAGAAAAGACAAAUCAAGAAAACCCCAGGCCCCACCAGCAGAGCAGCAGAGCAGCAGAGUGGCAGAGUGGCAGAGAAGGAGAGAAGCAGCAGCCAGAUGUUGGAGAGAAGCAGCUUGACUUCAGAGGGACAACUUGGUAGCGGGACCUCGGAGAAGAGUUUGGCCAGGGAUGCCCAAACUCCAGGGGAAGACCACCUUCCCACUCCAUCCCCUUUCCAGCUCCCCAUUCCAUUGAGAGCCACUUCCACCACUAAAUAAAAUCCUCCACAUUCACCAACCUCA